AAAACAUUACUGUAUGUCAAAUAUGUUAAUUAGAUUCUGUAUUUUUUAUAUACAGUUUAAUUUUUAGAAACACUCACACAUACUGUACAUCACAGUCUGAUUUUGCAGACUCAGUAGAGAGGAGUGAAAACUAGUCUGCUUCCCGAGUCCGUUUUUAAAAAAGCAGCCUUCACCAUGUCUCUGUUAGCUCACUGAGACUGAUACACACUUCUCUGCCUUCCGUGGAUAAUAGCACUAAUUUGAACUAAUGGAAAGAUAUUCCGUCAGAGACCAACCACUGAAAUGGAGAUAGAUGGGGGGAAAGAAAGAAUGUAGAAAAAAAAAGUAAACCUGCAAUCAGGAUCUCUGGUAUAAUGAUACGAUACACACAAUUUAAAUUUUUUAAAAAACAAAACAUACUGUAUCAUUGGAACCAAUAACGAUGCAUGAUAAUGGUAAUAAUAAAAAUGGUAAAAACAAAGCUUGUCGUAAGCUGCUCUACACGCCAGAGAAGACAUGUCAAAAUCAUUUUAGCAUGCUGCAUAUUGUAUCAUAGUUUACUGCAAGGAACGAAGGUCUUCUGAUCCAGCACCAGCAGAAAACCUGCCAGUGCAACAUCACAACAUCACACCACAUUUAUUUUUUCACCCAUAUCAGUGACCAGUGACAGAGACUUCCCCUUGACCUCCUUACAGUCAUGAAAUGCCUUGCUGAGGCGAGUAUUGUUUUUUGCCAUUUUCGUAUCGAUGCAUUUCAUCUUUAUUUUAGUGCGACUUACAGGUCACCCAGCAUUAACAGGUCAACUUUAGUCAGUCACUUAAUUCCUGCAGACACUGCUCAGAUCAAGACUUUCAUUUCUGGAUUGAAUUGUAGAGUUUUACUGAGAGGUGUUUAGAAUAUUUAGUCUAUACUCAUUCAUACCGGACGGAACAGACAACACUCAAAAAAAGAUCACAUUAAAAGCUUAAUAUUACCACCUGGCUGAGGUUAACAUUUGUUCCAGGGCUGCUGUAUCACUUUAAACUACAUUAGCUUUAUCUAGUUGUGGCUAAUAAACUGGCAGGUACAGGGGACAUUUGGUAUUUUAAUAGUCUAAUAAUAUUGAUAUAGAUUAGUUUACAUUCCACGUACACAUCUGUUGUUUGUGUCCUCUCAACUCAAACAGGCCUUGUACAAUUAGGUGCACAAACAUUAAUAGAUAUACAUAUAUGUAAAUGUUAGAAGUACCUGUACAUACAGCAUCUGAGAAGGCUACGGACAAAAAGAGGUUGGAUACUACAAGGAGUAAAACCAGAGUAAACAUCAUGUGGCUCUUCAACACUGGCGUCAACUCCGGGAGGAGAAGAGGGUGAAAGGUAAUUAUCUGUUUUGUUUUGGGUGAAAGAGGUUCAUUUGUUGAAGUGUGUAGCCAACAGAACUGUUAGAAAGCUUGUUUGUGUAUUAGCCAGCGCCAAGUUAGCUUCGCUGUAGGACACUAGCUAAGUUAGCUAACGCUACAAUAGCUUGUGUUUAUUUACGUGUCGUCACUGUAGUUGUGAGCACAUGUCGUUUGAUUGUUUAUUAGCUUUGAACGGGACGUUUGUGUUUGUGGAGCGGGCGUAGUGAGACCGCCUCUGUGCGUGGCUAGAGGCUUGUAUUAGCAGUUGAUGUUCAUGUUGCAGUCUGUGUGCAAUAAUAAAUGCCGCACCGCCUCAAGUUCCAUCAAUAAGUCUCUGUGUGUUUUUCACCACACUGCCGAUCAAAAGUGAGGGGUUGGUCCCGGAACGAUGCAGAGCAUCGGCCCUAGAGAAACCGUCUCCCUGCUCCCUGACUACGGUCCGGACGACGGACAGGAAAAAGACAAACACGUUCCUUUUUCGGGAAAUUCUCACCCAGUGUUGACUGGGAAGAUGAAACAUGGUGUCCUGAUCAGGAGACUGAAUCUGUGUCAUCGUUGGAGGAGGAUGAAUCCAGACUACGAUGACACGUGCACACAGCUCGAACCAUGCCUGCAGGGCCUGGACCACAACACCACAUACACAGACCAGCCAUGAGAAAGGAUGAUGGCUCAGUUCCGUACGGCAAGUUGUCCAUGAAGAAGUCAAGGACCUACAGGUUAUACACGAUGAAGGUUGUCUGCCAUGGACCAGAGCAACGAGACCAGUUGAUCCCUGUCAACAUUGGGUUCUGUCAGGUGUCCCUCCCCCAACCACCCAGGAGCUAGAGAAGCAAGUCAGUAGAGGACCAGGUCCACUGCCUAAAGAGUCGACGACAGCACAGCCUGACCCGUCAGCCGACAGACCUGC